UGCACCUCUAGCUCAACCGGUAGAGCAUCUGACUCUUAAUCAGCAGGUUCCGGGUUCGAGUCCCGGGGGGUGCACCCA
rnacentral:tRNA from 2 species